GAUGAAGAACGCAGCGAAAUGCGAUACUUGGUGUGAAUUGCAGAAUCCCGUGAACCAUCGAGUCUUUGAACGCAAGUUGCGCCCGAAGCCAUUAGGCCGAGGGCACGCCUGCCUGGGCGUCACACGUCGUUGCCCCCCCAUCUACUCCUUCGGGAUUGCGGGGGGCGGAUGAUGGCCUCCCGUGCGCCUCGUCGCGCGGUUGGCAUAAAUGCCAAGUCCUCGGCGACGCACGCCACGACAAUCGGUGGUUGCGAAACCUCGGUUGCCCGUCGUGUGCGGUCGUCGCGCAUCUAGGGCUCGAAAAAAUUGCCGGGCUCCGGCUCGGCUUUCAACGCGACCCCAGGUCAGGCGGGGUUACCCGCUGAAUUUAAGCAUAUCAAUAAGCGGAGGA
rnacentral:misc_RNA from 1 species